UUUUGCUGCAAUCUCAUAGUAGUAUCCCCCAUUUGAUGAAGAGGGAGCAAUACAACUAAUAGUGAUCAAAUUUCCAAGGAUUUCUGCUCUGUUGUUCAGAAUAAAUACAACACCUUUCUCUUCUUGAAGAAUAUGGGAUUUGUCAUUAAGGGUAAAAAAUACAGGAAAGGUGUUAUUAUAUUGGAAGUGUAUAGUAGAACCCUUGUGUUUACUGCUAAAAUGCCGGUACAACUGCCUGGAUGAGCCAAUAAAACUGCAACCCAAUAGAGGGCAUGAACAUGGUGUUUGGUUGCAGGUCUUAUCAUGGUCAAAUUUCUUGCUGAAUAUAACCAUUUCUCCACAACCGUACAUCAGAUUUUGGCAUGGUAGUUUCACUGAUUCAAGAACCUUUUCAAUGGCCCGGCAACGAUUAUAGCCAAUAGGCAAAGAGCAGGAAGGACAUUUAUGUGCAAUUUUUUUGCAGCAGGAAGAGCAAGCUGUAUGCCCAUUUUCACACUGAAAGACGGGAAUGGUUAAGGAAUGGUAGCAGACGGGACAAUCAAGCACUUCUGGGUCAGUUAGAGUCACGCAAAUUGCUGCAUUUCUGAUGGGUCCGACGCGGGCAGGACGAUUAGAUGAUCUGGGCAUGAUCAAUGAUGGGUGAUCAUCUCCUCCUCUUCCUUCUUCUUCUUCCUCUUCCUCGUCAUCUUCGUCCUCCUCAUCCCCUUCUUCUUCAUUUUGGUCAUUUUCCUCCUCUAAUACAUCAUCAUCAUCCUCUACUAAUUCAAUUUCUUCAUCUUCUGGAUCAUGCCAGGACGCUUGUUGAGGAGAAUCGCGAUUCUUAUGCCUGUUCCGCCUAGGACUGCUUGGUCCUUCAUCUGCUUCUCCGCCAACUGAGAAUCUCGCCAUGUCUGUAAAUUUUAAUUUCCUAAAAACGCCAUGCUCUCCAGUCUCCAGUCUCCUCUCAUCACGCACUAACCCUUUGGAUUGAGAGAAAUGGAGAGAAGAGAAGAGAAAUGGAGAGAAGAGAAAAUUCCUUUAAAUUUCUUUGUUUGGACAUCAAAUUGAAGAGAAAUGAAAGAUAAAGGAAGAGAAAAAAAGCGAAAUU
rnacentral:misc_RNA from 1 species